rnacentral:rRNA from 1 species
GAUGAACGCUGGCGGCGUGCCUAAUACAUGCAAGUCGAGCGAACGGACGAGAAGCUUGCUUCUCUGAUGUUAGCGGCGGACGGGUGAGUAACACGUGGAUAACUUACCUAUAAGACUGGGAUAACUUCGGGAAACCGGAGCUAAUACCGGAUAAUAUUUUGAACCGCAUGGUUCAAAAGUGAAAGACGGUCCUGCUGUCACUUAUAGAUGGAUCCGCGCUGCAUUAGCUAGUUGGUAAGGUAACGGCUUACCAAGGCAACGAUGCAUAGCCGACCUGAGAGGGUGAUCGGCCACACUGGACCUGAGACACGGUCCAGACUCCUACGGGAGGCAGCAGUAGGGAAUCUUCCGCAAUGGGCGAAAGCCUGACUGAGCAACGCCGCGUGGGUGAUGAAGGUCUUCGGAUCGUAAAACUCUGUUAUUAGGGAAGAACAUAUGUGUAAGUAACUGUUCACAUCUUGACGUUACCUAAUCAGAAAGCCACGGCUAACUACGUG